AUUGAACGCUGGCGGCAGGCUUAACACAUGCAAGUCGAGCGAGCGGCGGACGGGUGAGUAAUGUCUGGGAAACUGCCUGAUGGAGGGGGAUAACUACUGGAAACGGUAGCUAAUACCGCAUACCAUCAGAUGUGCCCAGAUGGGGUUAGCUAGUAGGUGGGGUAAUGGCUCACCUAGGCGACGAUCCCUGGCUGGUCUGAGAGGAUGACAGGCCACACGGGAACUGAGACCCGGGCCAGACUCCUGAGGGAGGCAGCAGUGGGGAAUAGUGCACAAUGGGCGAAAGCCUGAUGCAGCCAGGCCGCGUGUGUGAAGAAGGCCUUAGGGUUGUAAAGUACUUUCAGCGGGGAGGCGUUACUCGCAGAAGAAGCACCGGCUAACUCCGUGCCAGCAGCCGCGGUAAUAC
rnacentral:rRNA from 1 species